rnacentral:rRNA from 1 species
CUACGGGAGGCAGCAGUGGGGAAUAUUGCACAAUGGGCGCAAGCCUGAUGCAGCCAUGCCGCGUGUGUGAAGAAGGCCUUCGGGUUGUAAAGCACUUUCAGCGAGGAGGAAGGUGGUGAACUUAAUACGUUCAUCAAUUGACGUUACUCGCAGAAGAAGCACCGGCUAACUCCGUGCCAGCAGCCGCGGUAAU